rnacentral:rRNA from 1 species
GUGCCGGGGGGAGCGACCCCUUCGGUGCCGCAGCUAACGCGAUAAGUGCCCCGCCUGGGAAGUACGGCCGCAAGGCUGAAACUCAAAGGAAUUGACGGGGGCCCGCACAAGCGGUGGAGCAUGUGGUUCAAUUCGACGCAACGCGAAGAACCUUACCCAGGCUCGAACGGCAAUUGACAUCCGGUGAAAGCCGGCUCCCGCAAGGGCAAUUGUCGAGGUGCUGCAUGGCUGUCGUCAGCUCGUGUCGUGAGAUGUUGGGUUAAGUCCCGCAACGAGCGCAACCCUUGUCCGCUGUUGCCAUCAGGUUAUGCUGGGCACUCUGCGGAGACUGCCGGUGAUAAACCGGAGGAAGGUGGGGAUGACGUCAAGUCAGCAUGGCCUUUAUGUCUGGGGCUACACACGUGCUACAAUGGCCGGUACAAACCGUCGCGAUACCGCAAGGUGGAGCUAAUCGGAGAAAGCCGGUCUCAGUUCGGAUUGCAGGCUGCAACUCGCCUGCAUGAAGUUGGAAUCGCUAGUAAUCGCGGAUCAGCACGCCGCGGUGAAUACGUUCCCGGGCCUUGUACACACCGCC